rnacentral:rRNA from 1 species
AUUGAACGCUGGCGGCAUGCUUUACACAUGCAAGUCGAACGGUAACAGGCCGCAAGGUGCUGACGAGUGGCGAACGGGUGAGUAAUGCAUCGGAACGUGCCCAGUCGUGGGGGAUAACGCAGCGAAAGCUGCGCUAAUACCGCAUACGAUCUCUGGAUGAAAGCGGGGGACCGAAAGGCCUCGCGCGAUUGGAGCGGCCGAUGUCAGAUUAGGUAGUUGGUGGGGUAAAGGCCCACCAAGCCAACGAUCUGUAGCUGGUCUGAGAGGACGACCAGCCACACUGGGACUGAGACACGGCCCAGACUCCUACGGGAGGCAGCAGUGGGGAAUUUUGGACAAUGGGCGCAAGCCUGAUCCAGCAAUGCCGCGUGCAGGAAGAAGGCCUUCGGGUUGUAAACUGCUUUUGUACGGAACGAAACGGUCCGGGUUAAUACCCUGGGCUAAUGACGGUACCGUAAGAAUAAGCACCGGCUAACUACGUGCCAGCCGCCGCAGUAAGAC